rnacentral:rRNA from 1 species
UACGUAGGGUGCAAGCGUUGUCCGGAAUCAUUGGGCGUAAAGGGCGCGCAGGUGGUUCUGUAUGUCUGCCGUGAAAGCAUACAGCUCAACUGUAUUGUGUCGGUAGAAACUGCAGGACUUGAGGCUGGGAGGGGCUGGUGGAAUUCCCUGUGUAGCGGUGAAAUGCGUAGAGAUGGGGGAGAACACUCGUGGCGAAGGCGGCCAGCUAGACCAGUUCUGACACUGAGGCGCGACAGCGUGGGGAGCAAACAGG